rnacentral:lncRNA from 1 species
CAAAAGAGGUCGUUUUAGACUUGGGCUGUCCGUCAUCUCCUCGUCGUCGUUUGCUUCACUUCACUGAAUAAAACUCCGUUGUUUUUCUGAAUGCUUCUACGCUUUUCUCCCGCCAAAUUCUCGCCGGUGUCUAACUUUCCGGCAAUUGUUUCACCGGAGCUCUUCUCUUGUUCCGGUACAAUGGCUCGAAUAGUCUCCCGCGCAUUUCCACUCGUAUCGAGAUCUUCUUUAAACAACAAUAACAACACAACCUUUCUUCUCUCUCGUUCACCUUUUUCUACUCGAUUCUUCGUUUCUUCUUCUUCUUCUAUUUCUUCAAUUUUUGGUCGAAAACUUGCUAUUUCAUACCAAUCAGAUCGAAGUUCUAAUGUUAAAGCUAUCGAUAGAGGGGUUUUUGUUUAGCAAAGAGGUUAUCGAAAGCUGAGACGUAAGCCAUUAAAGAAAGAGAAACAAUUAGAGCUUGAUGUCAGAAUUUGUAUUGAAGAGGAAUUGCCCGAUGAUCCUGAAGUUCUGGUAAUUAUUACCUCUUUGUGUCAUUUCUCUUAAAGAUUUAAUUUUUAUAUAAAUUGCUUAAAAUUAGGUUUUCAGCUGAUUGUUUGAUAACAUUGGUUUUAAUUUGAACUAAUGAUACUUGGCUAAUAAUCAAGAAAAUGUUGAAUUUGUUUUUGAGCUUAAGUUGCAUAAGAACAUGGAUAGUUCAUCCCAAUAUUAAACGGACCUUUAUUCGAUCCAAGUCCAUUAAAAAGCCCAAUUGAUCAAAACAAGUCUAAUUACUGAAUUGUCCUUUACCCUCCCUUCCAUUAGGGCUGCUAUCUGAGCCGAGCGGCUCGGGCUCGGCUCGAUAAAAGCUCGGCUCGGCUCGCUCAUUUAUCUAAACGAGCCGAGUUCGAGCCGGUUUUUGAGCUCGUCACGAGCCCGAGCCGAGCUCGAGCUCUAAACGAGCCGAGCCGAGCAGCUCGUUUACUAUGGGCUUGGGCAGUUGGGCUUAUGGUAACUAUGGGCUUGGGCAGUUGGGCUUCUAUCUCCAUCACUUGCAACCAUCAGUAUCACAAACCCAAACUUAAUUCCCCACUCCACUUUUUUUUUUUUCUCUCUCUCUCUUCACUUUAUCUCUCGAUCAGUCGAUCUCAACUCUCUCUACACUUUUGAUUUCUCCAUCAGUCGAUCUCCUUUUGAUCAAUCGAUUCUAGUUUUUUUUUUCUCCAUCAGUCGAUCUCCAUCGCGUCUGCUCAAGGUGAGUUGAGUUAAGGGCUUUAUUUUCUAUUGAUUUUUGUUUAAUUAAUUAGGAUUUUGUGAUUCAAUUGGUUUGCUGAAUUUUAGUUUAGAAUUAGUUGUAGAUCUGUAUGGAAUUUUUGUGUUUUUUUCCAAGUUUAUCAAAAUAAAGAUUGAAGCUUUAUUUAUUUCUUUACAAGUUGAAAUUGAAUUUGAAUUGCAUAUAUGUUGUUUGAGAAAUUGUCUUUAAAGUGUAUAUACAAUACACCUUAAAUGGACUAGCAGUAUUCUUUUGUUCUUAAUGUUCUUCCACUAAUGCAAGAAAACAAUGGUUAAACUUAGAAAUACUUUCUGCAGGAUUUUUCAAGGAGCCAGACGAGCCAGCGAGCCGAAACGAGCCGAGCUCGAGUUUUACUUUUGGCUCUCGAACCGAGCUCGAGCUCAUAGUUCAGCUCGAUCUUAAUUUUAAGCUCGGCUCGAGCUCGGCUCGGUUAGUAACGAGCCGAGUUUGAGCAUACCUUAGCUCGGCUCGAGCGGCUCGAAUAGCACCCCUACCUUCCAUUCAUGUGGAUUCACAGUUUACACAAAAGAGGUCGUUUUGGACUUGGGCUGUCCGUCAUCUCCUCGUCGUCGUUUGCUUCACUUCACUGAAUAAAACUCCGUUGUUUUUCUGAAUGCUUCUACGCUUUUCUCCCGCCAAAUUCUCGCCGGUGUCUAACUUUCCGGCAAUUGUUUCACCGGAGCUCUUCUCUUGUUCCGGUACAAUGGCUCGAAUAGUCUCCCGCGCAUUUCCACUCGUAUCGAGAUCUUCUUUAAACAACAAUAACAACACAACCUUUCUUCUCUCUCGUUCACCUUUUUCCACUCGAUUCUUCGUUUCUUCUUCUUCUUCUUCUUCUUCUAUUUCUUCAAUUUUUGGUCGAAAA